rfam:Dipodomys ordii contig_12171, whole genome shotgun sequence.
GAAUGUGAGGCAUUCUGGCUGCACAUCUGUCACCCCACCAAUCUCCCAGGGUGACCCUGCUGCUCGGGCUGGCUAGAUGGUGUCCCCUUCUUCCCUCUGGCUCCAUGUGCAUCCCUCCCAAAGCUGCACGCUCGGUGGAAGAGGAUGACCAUCCCCAAUAGAGGAGGACCGGCCUUUGGUCAAGAGUACUGGAGUAGCUGCGCUCCCCUGCUAGAUCCUCCAAACAGCUGUCCAGAAGCCCAAAAUCAACAGAGUGAAGACACAAUCUACAGAGUGGGAGACAGUGUCUUCCAGUAAAGAAUAUAUAAAGAACUCAAAAUGCAGUUUUGAAACAAUUCAAUUUG